GCCAGUGUGGUACAGUGGUUAGAGCGUUGGACCAGGACUUGGGAGAUCAGGGUUCAAGUCCCCACUCGGGCA